AAACAAGGAUGCAAUUGCCUGAGUUCUAACAGCCCUCUUGCAUCUAGGAAGAAAUGUCCAGAAUUUCAGAGACAUUGGCCCCAUCAUUUUUGAGCUCCUGAACUGAAACCUGCAACUACCUACUUCUAGACAUCUUACUGUAUGCGAAAAAUAACUCCUUCUCUGUUUAAGCAUAAGGAGGAUUUUGUAUUAGGUAUCAUGUUCUGCAUUAGCUUGCUUUCCUAACUAAAAUAAUAGCUAACAUUUACAAACACUUACCACAAGCCUGGCACUGUGUUAAGCAUGUUAUAACCAUUAUGCCAUUUAACCUAAGUAAUAAUCCUAUGGAAAAGUGGUAUUAUUGCCACAUUAGAACUUUUCCCAGAGAUCAGAUCUGCUAAAGGCUCUGCUACUCCAAUUCUACCUAACUCCUGGGGUGCAAACCCUAGUCCGGCUGUACCUACUCCAAAACAAUAAGUAAAAGCUUUACUCCACCUGGAUAUAGGCUGAGCCAGAAAUCACUUUGAGAAACAGAGAUUUGAGCCAAGGUCCUCAAUCCCUUCCAAUGGCAAGGGAGAAAGUAAACAAGCCUUGUCUCCACUUGCUUCUGCUAUUACUGCUAGAUUUCACCAAUCAGUUUAAGAACCAAACACCUUGGGAUAGUUAAGAAGAAGGUGAAGCAGUCAUUAAAAAAAAAAAGAAGAACAAAACCAUGUCCUUUGUAACUACAUGGAUGGAGCUGGAGGUCAUUAUCCUAAACAAACUAACAC
rnacentral:lncRNA from 1 species